rfam:gamma proteobacterium HTCC5015 scf_1106129323651 genomic scaffold, whole genome shotgun sequence.
CUUCUGGACUGGAUCCGUUGCCGGUUGGAGUCGAACUUUGAAUAGAUAUAGCUACGGAGAACAUCAUGCUAUCAACUGAAGAAAAAGCCGCCAUCCUGAAAGAUUAUGGCCGCGCUGAA